GACGAACGCUGGCGGCGUGCUUAACACAUGCAAGUCGAACGGAAAGGCCUGCUUUCCCUUGUGGAUUGCGGGUACUCGAGUGGCGAACGGGUGAGUAACACGUGAGUGAUCUGCCCCCAACUUGGGUAUAAGCCUGGGAAACUGGGUCUAAUUCCCGAUAGGACUGCAGGGUGGUGCCUGUGGUGGAAAACGAUUUUCUAGUGGUUGGGGAUGAGCUAGCGGCCUAUCAGCUUGUUGGUGGGGUAAUGGCCUACCAAGGCGGCGACGGGUAGCCGGCCUGAGAGGGUGGACGGCCACAUUGGGACUGAGAUACGGCCCAGACUCCUACGGGAGGCAGCAUGUGGGAAUAUUGCACAAUGGGCGGAAGCCUGAUGCAGCGACGCCGCGUGGGGGAUGACGGCCUUCGGGUUGUAAACUCCUUUCGACCGCGAGGAAGCCACCUGGUUGGAAGGGUGGUGACGGUAGUGGUAGAAUAAGCACCGGCUAACUACGUG
rnacentral:rRNA from 1 species